AUUGAACGCUGGCGGCAUGCUUUACACAUGCAAGUCGAACGGCAGCGCGGGCUUCGGCCUGGCGGCGAGUGGCGAACGGGUGAGUAAUGCAUCGGAACGUGCCCAGUAGUGGAGGAUAGCCCGGCGAAAGCCGGAUUAAUACCGCAUACGACCUGAGGGUGAAAGCGGGGGACCGAAAGGCCUCGCGCUAUUGGAGCGGCCGAUGUCGGAUUAGCUAGUUGGUGGGGUAAAGGCUUACCAAGGCGACGAUCCGUAGCUGGUCUGAGAGGACGACCAGCCACACUGGGACUGAGACACGGCCCAGACUCCUACGGGAGGCAGCAGUGGGGAAUUUUGGACAAUGGGGGCAACCCUGAUCCAGCCAUGCCGCGUGCGGGAAGAAGGCCUUCGGGUUGUAAACCGCUUUUGUUCGGGAAGAAAUCCUCUGGGCUAAUACCCCGGGGGGAUGACGGUACCGGAAGAAUAAGCACCGGCUAACUACGUG
rnacentral:rRNA from 1 species